AUGGCUGUCGUCAGCUCGUGUCGUGAGAUGUUGGGUUAAGUCCCGCAACGAGCGCAACCCUUGUCCGAUGUUACCAGCGGGUUAUGCCGGGGACUCGUCGGAGACUGCCGGGGUCAACUCGGAGGAAGGUGGGGAUGACGUCAAGUCAUCAUGCCCCUUACGUCCAGGGCUGCACACAUGCUACAAUGGCCGGUACAACGGGCUGCUAUCCCGCGAGGGGGAGCCAAUCCCAAAAGCCGGUCUCAGUUCGGAUUGCAGUCUGCAACUCGACUGCAUGAAGUCGGAGUCGCUAGUAAUCCCGGAUCAGCAACGCCGGGGUGAAUACGUUCCCGGGCCUUGUACACACCGCCCGUCACACCACGAAAGUCGGCAACACCCGAAGCCGGCGGCCCAACCCUUUUUGGGAGGGAGCCGUCGAAGGUGGGGUCGGCGAUUGGGGUGAAGUCGUAACAAGGUAGCCGUACCGGAAGGUGCGGCUGGAUCACCUCCUUUCUAAGGAGUCAACUCUCGACCAUUUUCGGUCGAGGACUCCCAGUCGAUCACUGGUUAUUCGGCGCUAAACGCAUUUUCGGCGGCAGUCGCGUCCUGCCCGCUCCCCACGAGGGAGUGGCCGGGCCGGCCCCGUAUUCCGGGUGUGCGUGAUCGUCGGACCUCAUUGUUCCGUUUUGAGGGAGCGGCUUUGUCGCUUCUUCCGCGAAGUCGACGGCUUUCGGGCUCGUCGACCGCUCGCGUCCUUCGUCCGGCCGUCAGUAUGCAAUAGCGACGGCAGCGCGCGCCCCUUGAGAAUUCCAUAGCGAGCACGAGCAUCUUUGUUCUCCAAGCUACAAAGAGCCAACGGUGGAUGCCUUGGCGCCUGAAGCCGAAGAAGGACGCGGGAGGCUGCGAAAAGCCACGGGGAGCUGCCUACCAAGCUUCGAUCCGUGGAUGUCCGAAUGGGGAAACCCGG
rnacentral:sRNA from 1 species